rnacentral:rRNA from 1 species
UACAGAGGGUGCGAGCGUUGUUCGGAAUUACUGGGCGUAAAGCGCGCGCAGGCGGCCUUUUAAGUCUGCUGGUGAAAUGCCGGGGCUCAACCCCGUGCCCGCCACAGAUACUGGGAGGCUGGAGACAUGUAGAGGCAAGCGGAAUUCCGGGUGUAGCGGUGGAAUGCGUAGAGAUCCGGAAGAACACCGGAGGCGAAGGCGGCUUGCUGGGCAUGGUCUGACGCUGAGGCGCGAAAGCGUGGGGAGCGAACAGG